rnacentral:rRNA from 1 species
GACGAACGCUGGCGGCGUGCUUAACACAUGCAAGUCGAACGAAGAGCGAUGGAAGCUUGCUUCUAUCAAUCUUAGUGGCGAACGGGUGAGUAACGCGUAAUCAACCUGCCCUUCAGAGGGGGACAACAGUUGGAAACGACUGCUAAUACCGCAUACGAUCUAAUCUCGGCAUCGAGGAUAGAUGAAAGGUGGCCCCUACAUGUAAGCUAUCACUGAAGGAGGGGAUUGCGUCUGAUUAGCUAGUUGGAGGGGUAACGGCCCACCAAGGCGAUGAUCAGUAGCCGGUCUGAGAGGAUGAACGGCCACAUUGGGACUGAGACACGGCCCAGACUCCUACGGGAGGCAGCAGUGGGGAAUCUUCCGCAAUGGACGAAAGUCUGACGGAGCAACGCCGCGUGAGUGAUGACGGCCUUCGGGUUGUAAAGCUCUGUUAAUCGGGACGAAAGGCCUUCUUGCGAAUAGUGAGAAGGAUUGACGGUACCGGAAUAGAAAGCCACGGCUAACUACGU